AACGAACGCUGGCGGCAUGCCUAACACAUGCAAGUCGAACGAGAUCUUCGGGUCUAGUGGCGCACGGGUGCGUAACGCGUGGGAAUCUGCCCUUUGGUUCGGAAUAACAGUUGGAAACGACUGCUAAUACCGGAUGAUGACGAAAGUCCAAAGAUUUAUCGCCAGAGGAUGAGCCCGCGUAGGAUUAGCUAGUUGGUGUGGUAAAGGCGCACCAAGGUGACGAUCCUUAGCUGGUCUGAGAGGAUGAUCAGCCACACUGGGACUGAGACACGGCCCAGACUCCUACGGGAGGCAGCAGUGGGGAAUAUUGGACAGUGGGCGAAAGCCUGAUCCAGCAAUGCCGCGUGAGUGAUGAAGGCCUUAGGGUUGUAAAGCUCUUUUACCCGGGAUGAUAAUGACGGUACCGGGAGAAUAAGCUCCGGCUAACUCCGUGCCAGCCGCCGCCGUAA
rnacentral:rRNA from 1 species